AAGCAGGAAUAGGAUAGGGAGCUGAAUUUCAGGCAGCUAUAUAAGUAAUGCCUGUGGCAGAGCUAUAGGGGUAAUGAGAAGCCCCCAGGAUCAGUUAAGAGUGCUGGGGUCAUGUGACUAGAUGAGGGUGGAGCCCAGGGCUCUAUAAGCUGGAGGAGUAGUUGGGUUUGGGAUGCAAGAGAGGAAGAGUUUCCUGAAGCUUGCUGCUGAACUGUCCUUAGCAGCCUCAGAGAAAGUUCUUGGCAAUGAAAGGCAGUCAUGUAGGUGUGCUUGAAGGGACUGAAGCUGCAGAGGCUGGUACCAGCCAGAAGCAUCUGUGGCAGAGAAAGAGUUAAAAGGAAAGGCAAAGGGUAUGAAGUUAUCAAAGUGCAGAAUAAUGAGCAGAAGGAACAGUGCUCAGCCACAGCAUUAGACCUGACUACAAUGUUGGCAAACACUGGCAUUAAAUAGGACCCCCAAAUGAGCAAACAAGUCUUCCACUCCAUCAUGAAGAAUUGUUCUCUGGACCCCAGCGUGACUCAAAGCUACUCCUCCUGCCUUCUGGAGCUCAGUCCAAUCGUUGUUAAAACCUAAAAUGGAUUACAUGUCUGGAAGGGUUUGCAGUCCUUGCAAACAGGUCUUGGCUGGCAUAAAGAAGGACCUGAUACCUGAGAUAAACUCAAGUUCUUACUCACUUCUAUACUUCUGUCACUGUUCAAAUUUUGCUUUGGGGAUCAUCACACACCCAGUAGAUCUCCUAGAUCCAGGAGCUAAGUAUUGCAGAUGUAUUUUCUUUAGUACCUACCUGAUUUAGGGAUAUCAGUCCUUUUUAUUUGUGUUUUUUAAUUGUUGAUAAACUUUUGAAAAUCCUGUUCCCAGUCUCUCUGAAAUUCUCAUUUCUAGGAGAUAUAAAGCUGCUGUUUAUUGCUACUUCCUCAUAAAAAAAAAUAGAAUAAUUAAAGAAAAUUCAAUUUAGUUGAAUUAUUCAAAAAGACUAACAAUAUCCAGCCCAAGAAAAUUCUGAAAAGGCAACAGAAAACUACAGAGCUAAGGGGCUUUUAUAUGGCAUACAAUUGUUAUGAUUCCUUUUAAUUAAAUACAAAUGAAUUAAUUGGUAUAAAAUACUGUCAAGCAAUUAUUUUGCUGACAUUUUGUCUCUUUUGAGACACUUUGUUUACUGCAUGUAUCAUCUACAGCUUAUCACCCAUUCUACACUAACUAUUUUAAACAUAUAUUUAAAGAGUUAAAGCUAAGUUUAUACUGUUAGAAACUUUUACAUUAAUUUCAUAUUUGUGUUAAUGGUACACACAUUAGACCCAAUAGUAUUUACAUUUUUUAAUCCAUCUCCCAUCCCUAGGCCAUCAUUGUAUAUGAGAUAUUCCAUCUUAAUGAAUUUUUCUGGUUAAAGAUUUUUAAAUAAAUGAAUAAAUAAAUAAGUAAUGAAACACUGA